UUGCUGAUCUGGUGGAAGGAGGCUCUGUUGUCUGCGGCUAAAAUGGAGAUGUCAGCCCCACUGAAGCGUGCGAUUCUUUGCUUGAGGGAGAAGAAGUGAGCCGUCAGUCUGCACGAGCCUGUGCCGGUCAGUUCCCAGCGUGUCCCAGGAGUAUCCAACCCAUGCCUCUUCCGCUCCGUGUUCAGGGACAUCAAGAGCCUCCGUCACCCAAGUAUUUACGCCCUGGGCAUUGGCCAAGGCUGUGAGCUGGGGCUCGCUGGCCUGGAGAGCGGGAAGGGGACUGUGACCAGCACACCCUCGGGUGUCAUCCAAGGAAACUGGGAUCACAAAGCAGAAGUCGGUAAU